AGGGCGUACGGUGGAUGCCUUGGCACUAGGAGCCGAUGAAGGACGCGACGAACAGCGAAAUGCCCUGGGGAGUGGUAAGUACACUUUGAUCCAGGGGUAUCCGAAUGGGGGAACCCACCGCCGGGAGACUGGCGGGACACCCGUGUGAAUACAUAGCACGGCGUGAGGCAAACCCGGGGAACUGAAACAUCUAAGUACCCGGAGGAAGAGAAAGAAAAUUCGAUUCCCUGAGUAGCGGCGAGCGAAACGGGAACAGCCCAAACCAGGAAGCAUGCUUCCUGGGGUUGUAGGACACUCUAUACGGAGUUACAAAGGGAUAGGAUAGGUGAACGACCUGGAAAGGUCGGCCAGAGAAGGUGACGGCCCUGUAGCCGAAAUCGUAUCCCCUCCAGAGUGGAUCCUGAGUACGGCGGGACACGUGAAACCCCGUCGGAAUCCGGGAGGACCAUCUCCCAAGGCUAAAUACUUCCUAGUGACCGAUAGUGAACCAGUACCGUGAGGGAAAGGUGAAAAGCACCCCGGAAGGGGAGUGAAACAGAUCCUGAAACCGUAUGCCUACAAGUAGUCAGAGCCCGUUAACGGGUGAUGGCGUGCCUUUUGUAGAAUGAACCGGCGAGUUACGAUGGCGGGCGAGGUUAAGCCGAUGAGGCGGAGCCGCAGCGAAAGCGAGUCUGAAUAGGGCGCAUCAGUCCGUCGUCGUAGACCCGAAACCAGGUGAUCUACCCAUGUCCAGGAUGAAGGUCAGGUAACACUGACUGGAGGUCCGAACCCACGCACGUUGAAAAGUGCGGGGAUGAGGUGUGGGUAGCGGUGAAAUGCCAAUCGAACCUGGAGAUAGCUGGUUCUCCCCGAAAUAGCUUUAGGGCUAGCCUCGAGGUGUAGAGUUCCGGAGGUAGAGCACUGAUUGGACUAGGGGCCCCCACAGGGUUACCGAAUUCAGUCAAACUCCGAAUGCCGGCAACUUGUACUCGGGAGUCAGACUGCGAGUGAUAAGAUCCGUAGUCGAAAGGGAAACAGCCCAGACCAUCAGCUAAGGUCCCCAAGUGUAUGUUAAGUGGAAAAGGAUGUGGCGUUGCACAGACAACUAGGAUGUUGGCUUAGAAGCAGCCACCAUUCAAAGAGUGCGUAAUAGCUCACUAGUCGAGUGACGCCGCGCCGAAAAUGUAACGGGGCUAAACAUACCACCGAAGCUAUGGAUCCCGUAAGGGAUGGUAGGGGAGCGUUCCAAGCAGCAGUGAAGCGGUAUCGUGAGGAGCCGUGGAGCGCUUGGAAGUGAGAAUGCCGGUGUGAGUAGCGAAAAGAGGGGUGAGAAUCCCCUCCGUCGAAAGCCCAAGGUUUCCUGAGGAAGGCUCGUCCGCUCAGGGUUAGUCUGGACCUAAGCCGAGGCCGAAAGGCGUAGGCGAUGGACAACAGGUUGAUAUUCCUGUACCGCCGUACCACCGUUUGAACGAUGGGGGGACGCAGAAGGAUAAGGUAACCGUGCGACUGGAAGUGCACGGACAAGCAGCGAGGCCGUCGGGUUGGCAAAUCCGCCCGACACACAAGGUUGAGCUGUGACGUGGAGCCCGUAGGGCGAAGUACCGGAUUUCACGCUGCCAAGAAAAGCCUCUAGUAAGGAGGUCGGCGCCAGUACCGUAAACCGACACAGGUAGGCGAGAUGAGAAUUCUAAGACGCGCGGGAUAACUCUCGUUAAGGAACUCGGCAAAAAUGGUCCCGUAACUUCGGGAGAAGGGACGCUUAUGGCAACAUAAGCCGCAGUGAAUAGGCCCAAACGACUGUUUAGCAAAAACACAGGUCUCUGCUAAAUCGCAAGAUGAAGUAUAGGGGCUGACGCCUGCCCGGUGCUGGAAGGUUAAGGGGAUGUGUCAUCGCAAGAGAAGCACUGAACCGAAGCCCCAGUAAACGGCGGCCGUAACUAUAACGGUCCUAAGGUAGCGAAAUUCCUUGUCGGGUAAGUUCCGACCCGCACGAAAGGCGUAACGAUUUGGGCACUGUCUCAACGAGAGACCCGGUGAAAUCAUAGUACCUGUGAAGAUGCAGGUUAC
rnacentral:rRNA from 1 species